UAGAAUAUUGAGAGUAUAGGUGCUAAUUUAAAAUUAGUGAAAAGGGAAACAGGUGAAAGUCCUGUGCGGUCCCGCCGCUGUAACAGAGGAGCUUUUCUACGUACCACAGGAAUUAUUUCUGGAAGGGUAGAGAAAGUUAUGAUACUGAAGCCAGAAGACCUGCCUAUAUUUCUUUAGACGU
rnacentral:ncRNA from 2 species